UGGCGGAUUUAAGAGGUCGGCAGCUUCCGGUCGUGCCCAGACUGCUUGUAACGACCUCUCAUAAAUGGCGCAUUUCUGAAAUUUGCAAAACAAGAAUCUGCCAAGGUUGCAAUUGUACUUUUACAACAGUUCUGGAACAUUCUGGGUAAUUAACAUUACCUGACGAACAGCUGAUAGGUGGUCACUAGCUUGGUGAACAGGCAACCCUGACAGGAGACAAAAGAUAGUGACAUGGCAGAGAUGGAGGAAGACGUUGGGGAUUUGCCAGCCAGAGAAGAUGACAAUGACUCGGACAGAGAUGAAGACGACAGAUUGUUUGCUUGGAUGGUGAAUGAUGUGGAUGAAGAAGAAGAAGAAGAGGAGGUGGAGGAAUUAUUUGAGUUGGAUAUUCCAGCAGAGCGCAGUGGGCAUAUAGCUGUGGUUCAUAGAAACCUCAUGUAUGUGUGGGGUGGAUACAGGAAUGCUCAAAACCACGGAUUCUUUGACUUGUAUCUGCCGAGAAAUGAGAUCUGGACCUACAACAUGGAGUCAGGAGUAUGG